rnacentral:rRNA from 1 species
UACAGAGGGGGCAAGCGUUGUUCGGAAUUACUGGGCGUAAAGGGCGCGUAGGUGGCCUUCUAAGUUGAACGUGAAAUCCCUGGGCUCAACCCAGGAACUGCGUCCAAGACUGGGAGGCUUGAAUCCGGGAGAGGGAUGCAGAAUUCCAGGUGUAGCGGUGAAAUGCGUAGAUAUCUGGAGGAAUACCGGUGGCGAAGGCGGCAUCCUGGACCGAGAUUGACGCUGAACGGCGAAAGCUAGGGGAGCGAAACGGG